ACGUCGAAGGCCUGUGUCUCUGGCACUUUCUGCUGUGCUUGGCAUUGAAAGCGCGACAGGCGAGCAGCGAACAACGUACCAUUCCCAACAGUCCAAACCAGAAAUCAGUGCACACUGGCGACAGGAGUUGAAUAUAAUAAUCAAAAACAAAUAAAAAAAAAUAAAUAAGCUGAAUUUUAAUAUAUAGUAAUUAUAAUUAGACACGCAAAUGAAAUCAACGAUCACAUUAAAUUCAAUUUGACAAACCCAAAAAGUCACAAUAAGAGUUAAAACAAAAAAACACAACAAUAACAAAUUAAUUGUGCAAACACAAAAAAAAAAAAAAACACCUAAAAUUCAUUUGAGAAGUGCGCAAAACUGGUGACUGCUCGAAAAUAACAACAAUAUAUUCCAAUUGUACUCGAACUAUGUAUGUACAUAUAUUUCGUAUAUUUCCUAUUGUCAGUAAGUGCAAUUUCACAUUUUUACGGAAAAGCAGAGCAAAAUUAAUGAAAGUAAACAAAAUCUGAAAGCAAAACAAGAAUAUGGUGAAAGAAAAUUUGUAUAUAUGCAUAUGUAUAUAUAAGUAUUUAUCCAUCUAUAUCUCACCUGCGGGUAUUACGUGUCAAACAUGUGAUUCCGUUCUGCUUUUGUAUGCAAAAAUUUUAAAUGAUGCAUGCGAAAAAAUGUCAGUGAAAAUGAAACGAAAGAAAGUACAAAAAAAAACAUUGCAUCAUCCAAAUACAGGUGAAAACUCGUGUGAAAAAUACUGCAAAAGGAGGAAAAAUCGCUUUGCGCCUUAUGGCUGUCGUAUUAAAACAGUGGAACAGCGUCAGCUUUGAAAUUUAAUUAGCGACAGGCGAUUGAGCCAGCCACAACAACAACAACAACAACAACAACAGCAAUGACAGCACAAACACACGCCUACACACAAUAGAGCAGAACAAGGGCCUGCGAAAUAAAAGUAAACACAAAGACAAAAGAAAAAGGAAAUAAACCAAAAUAAAUCAUGCGAGCAAACGAAGAGGAAGAGCCACAAAAUGUGUUCAGCUUUCGCAUGACGACAGCAAAAAGCAGCAGCGACAGCGGCAGCAACAAGAACAAUGAAAGUGCACCAGAGACGUUAUCAGACCCCCUUCAUCAACCCUACUGCCACUGCUGCAACUGGCAUGUGAGUGUGUGUACGUGUGUGUGUGUGUGUGUGUGUGCCUGUGAGAGCGAGCGAGCAAACAAAAAUGGCGCUUGACAUGCGCACCAUGCGCACUGAGCGAGCGGCCAACUUGAACUUGAAAAUGUUUUUAUUGUUGCGCUUGUCCGAAGGCUGUGUUCCAUUUACUUGACGCGACAGCGACGCCAGCAGCAAAGCGAUGCCGGCAACCAAAGUGUGGAGCGCAGAGCGUAUACGCGAAUUCAACAGAGAGGGAGAGAGCGAGAGAGAGCAGCGAGGGCGUAAGCAGCAAGAGCGAGCUGCUAGGCUAAGCUUUGGGACUGCUUGCUAGCAGCAGGUAUGUAUGUUUGUAUGUAUGUAUGUAUAUUUGUGUUGUGCAUGUGUUGGUGAGAGUUGCAAAUCAGCCAAUAUGAAAAGAAAAAUAAAAACAAACAAGCAUGCGAGAGCAGGCGAAAGCUUUUUGCAUAGCUUUUGCGUGGGUGACUUAAGGCAGCGCAGUUGCGUCGCUGCCGACGUCUGCCAACUGUUUGCUUUUGUUGUAUGCCCAAAGCCAGCUGCCCGACACUUUCUCUUUCGCUGCGUACACCAAUGUGCCUGUGUGUGUGUGUAUGUGUGUGUAAAUAAUGCUGUUGCAUAUUUACUGGGAUACGAUGACGCGCACCUGUGCGAACACAGCUGCAGCCGACAGGAUGCUGCUGCUUCUUCUUCUACACGCUAGCCUCCUAGCUGCCAGCCAGGCGCAAAGUUUUUCAGUGUAGAGCGCACUCCCGGUGAUGUCAGGCAGCUCCUAACAGAGCAGCGUUGCCAUACUUGUAAUAGAAAAAAAAAAAACACAUUACAUAUAUGUGUAUGUAUGUGUAAAGUUGACAUAAAAGUGCGCGUUGCUCGAAAAAAGGAAACAAUAACAAAACAUAUUCAGGUGUGGAAAAUUGAUUAAUUGCUAAAAAUACAAGUGUGUGUGUGUGUGAGUGUAAAAGUUUCUGUACUGUGUCAUGUGAUGCAAAUUGUUAUUUUCAUUCUCGACCAGCAUAUGGACAUUACAUUUUAAGAAAUAUAUGUAGUGCACACAAACCACACACGCAUACACACACACACACACACAGAUACAGAUAGACAAUUAUUUCAUUGCGCCUUGGCAUAUGCAACAUAUUUGUUGGUUUGUGUUUACUACGCUUUCGACCUUUUCACACACACACACACACACGCGCACACGUGUUCACAGAGCAAGAUGCGUAAGCAGCGUUGAAUUAUUUACACAUAUAAAUAUACAUAUAUGUUUACAGUUAGAUAGAUGCAUGUGUAUGCCAUAUAUAGACAUUAAUCGAUGCGACUUUGUCUAAGGGCAGCUGGCAAAAUGUGGAGCAUUAAAAAUAGAUAUGGAAAAUAACUUUCGGCCAUAGCAAACUCAAUAAAUGAUUUGGAAAUAUUUUGACGAUUCAAGCAAA